rnacentral:rRNA from 1 species
AUUGAACGCUGGCGGCAGGCUUAACACAUGCAAGUCGAGCGAGCGGCGGACGGGUGAGUAAUGUCUGGGAAACUGCCUGAUGGAGGGGGAUAACUACUGGAAACGGUAGCUAAUACCGCAUACCAUCAGAUGUGCCCAGAUGGGAUUAGCUAGUAGGUGGGGUAAUGGCUCACCUAGGCGACGAUCCCUAGCUGGUCUGAGAGGAUGACCAGCCACACGGGAGCGGUGACACGGUCCAGACGCCGAGGGGUGGCAGAGGUGGGGAAUAUUGCACAAGGGGCGCAGGCCGGAUGCAGCCAUGCCGCGUGUGUGAAGAAGGCCUUCGGGUUGUAAAGCACUUUCAGCGAGGAGGCGUUACUCGCAGAAGAAGCACCGGCUAACUCCGUGCCAGCCGCGGCGGUAAUAC